rnacentral:tRNA from 1 species
GGUUGUGGCUCAGGGGUAGAGCGCUUGCCUAGCAAGUGUGAGGCUCUUGGUUUGAUCCUCAGCACCA